GUAGGUGGCAAGCGUUGUCCGGAAUUAUUGGGCGUAAAGCGCGCGCAGGUGGUUCUUUAAGUCUGAUGUGAGAGCCCCCGGCUCAACCGGGGAGGGUCAUUGGAAACUGGGGAACUUGAGUGCAGGAGAGGAAAGUGGAAUUCCACGUGUAGCGGUGAAAUGCGUAGAUAUGUGGAGGAACACCAGUGGCGAAGGCGACUUUCUGGCCUGUAACUGACACUGAGGCGCGAAAGCGUGGGGAGCAAACAGGGAUUAGAUACCCUGGUAGUCCACGCCGUAAACGAUGAGUGCUAAGUGUUGGGGGGGUUUCCCGCCCCUCAGUGCUGCAGCUAACGCAUUAAGCACUCCGCCUGGGGAGUACGGCCGCAAGACUG
rnacentral:rRNA from 1 species